UUAAAAUAUUAUUAAUAUUAUUAAUAUUGAGUAUAAAAUAAUAAUAAUAAUAAUAAUAAUAAUAACAACAAGAACAACAACAAUAAUACGAAUAUUCAUGCCCGCAUGUGCAUUGCAUGCGUUGGUGCGUAAGUAUUCGUUUUAUAAUAAUUCUAAGUUUCUUUAUUUCUAAAGUUUUCCAAAUUCUAAAGUUUCUUUAUUUUUUGGUUAAUAUCGCUUUGCUAUAUAUAAUGCACAUUUAUUUUAUGUGAAUUAUUGACAUUGAUAAUCAACAUUAGGUACAAAUGAAUGAAAAGAAAUUUAAAGCUGCUAAUUAUAAAAAUAUAUAAAACAUAAUUAAAAAAUAAUGUAAAUUUUUCGAUUUGAUGAUUACCUAUUGUUGACUAUAAAAAUUUAUAUACAUCGCAUGUUUUAUACAUAAACUGGAACAAUAUCUAUAAUAUUGUUAAUAAUGUGGUUAUUAAACACUUCGAUAGUAAGUUCUGUUACCAAAUGAAAGUUAGAUUUGAGAUUAAGUUCCAUCGUUUCUUUUCACAAAAUAUAUUUCACUAUUAUUGCAGAUGCAAUCAUUAAAAUUUGUGCAACAAUAUAAUCAUAAAUUCGUAAAUUUACCAUCGUGAUAGAAGCGAUGUGACUACGUCUAAAAUAUUUAUAUACAUAAAUACACAUAUACUUAUAUAUGUAAAUAGACAUAAAAAGCAUAUAUAUACCACAUAAUGCAUUAGUGGUGCUUGAAUUUGACUACACCUCUUGCAGUGAAGGAUCAGUUAAACCUAGCCCAUAACAUAGAUAGGAAUGCAUGGAAAAAUAUUGACUUGUUUAACAGGUUUAGGAUAAGAAUGGAAAGAACUAAGGAUAAAUAAAUAUCAAAAAUAAUAUCUGUGUAUAUGUAUGAAGUAUAUGCAUAUAAAUUAUAAUAUCGCUAUAAAAAAAUAUAAAAAUCAUAUUAAUCUCGUUUCUUAAUUAACGAGUACGAUAUAUCUUCGCAUAUAUAAAAUAAUACUUGUAAAAAAAAAUGCGAAACAAUAAGAGAGAGAGAGAGAGAGAGAGAGAGAGAGAGAGAGAGAGAGAGAGAGAGAGAGAGAAAGAGAUAGAGUAGUCAGAUGCUGAAUUCCUGUAAAAUGAUUGUUAUUUUAAAUGAUUGAAUAAAUAAACGUUUAAGGAAAUAA